ACUCAAAUGAAUAGACGGGGGCCCGCACAAGCGGUGGAGCAUGUGGUUUAAUUCGAUGCAACGCGAAGAACCUUACCAAGAUUUGACAUCCCUCUGACAGGGCUAGAGAUAGCUCCUCCCUUCGGGGCAGAGGUGACAGGUGGUGCAUGGUUGUCGUCAGCUCGUGUCGUGAGAUGUUGGGUUAAGUCCCGCAACGAGCGCAACCCUUACCUUUAGUAGCCAUCAUUCAGUUGGGCACUCUAGAGGGACUGCCGUUUUAAAACGGAGGAAGGUGGGGAUGAGGUCAAAUCAUCAUGCCCUUUAUGUCUUGGGCAACACACGUGCUACAAUGGCUAUAACAAAGUGAUGCAAACCGGCGACGGUUAGCCAACCACAAAAAAAUAGUCUCAGUUCGGAUUGUAGUCUGCAACUCGACUGCAUGAAGCUGGAAUCGCUAGUAAUCGCGGAUCAGAAUGUCGCGGUGAAUACGUUCCCGGGCCUUGUACACACCGCCCGU
rnacentral:rRNA from 1 species